GUUUGAGAACCUCUGAUGCACAGAAUCUGAAGGUGCAGCAGAGCAGUGAAUAGUGUCCAAGUUGACAAGGGUAUCUAUCCUUCCCUUGCUGCCAGCCUUAUUCCUCAGAGUGAUUACAGCUACAAUGGCACUCUUUCGCUUGUGGGAUUCAUUUGAAUGAACUAUAAGCCCCAAUUCUCUGCACGAUCACUUUUCAGUACUGAGCCAAAAAAAGGAUGGGGCACCUAAGAACAGCCCAAUUGUUACAGCAUUAUUACCAACAAAUAUUGACAAAUAAAACACACUAAAAGGCAAUUCUGUUCUAUAAAGUCACCAAGUUUUAAUCAAAUCAGUCCAGUCAUUUUGGAGAUGUUGUGCUAUUUAGUAUUAUGUUUUUCUAAUGCUGAUAUAUAUCAAAAUGUCCUUUUCUAUCAGAUGCCUACUGCCCCAGAUGUGCAAUCCUGCCACAUUUCAUUUUUUAACUGAACAGGAAAUGGUGUUUUGGUUGAUGAGUGAGUGAGCCAGUCACUCAGUCAACUUCGUAUUAUUUAUAUAUGUAGAUAUUAGCUAUCAAAGACUGCACACC